UUUAGGCAAUUUGAAAUGGACAUAACUUUUUGCUGAAUUACACUGAUAAUAAUUUUUUACUGCGGUAAACUAUUCUAUAAUGCACAGGUAAAAAAAGGUAAAAAGCAUGUGGACUUUGUCCAUAAAAAUGUGCUGGAAUUCAAUGUUGAAGGCAGUUGAGAAAAUGCAAACACAAACCUGUGCAUUCUAGCACUGGUCAGAAGUGUGGAAGUGCGUCUUGUGAGACAACUGCUGUUACUAAAACCCAAAAAAAAUGUAGGACCACUUGUCUCCAUUUUGGUGCUUGAUUCUUGAAUGUUUGCAGUGUGUCUUUUUGCCACGGGGUGUCCCUAAAAACCUACUGUGAGAUGUUGCAGUCUAUGUUUUUCUAGUCAAAAACUGUUUUGAUAGUUAGAACCAUUAUUUGCUGAAAAACGUAAAGUGUGCAGAGUAGUAGGUGGACAGAUAAAAAUGUCGUGGGUCUGUUUCUGAUAAGCUGAAGGAGUAAAUACACAUGCAACAAUAAAUGCCUUCCUAUUGUUGAAGAUAAAUCCAGCAAGAUAAUUAGAAAUAUUCUGACAAUGAGCAAAAAGUAUGAAUUUGUAAAUGCACACCAUUAUUUAUUUAUCUCUUCUGGAUUGGUUGUUUAAAAUUUUUUAUGUCCCAACUACUGUUGUGUAAAUCACAUGCCCGUAAAAUACACCAAAUAUUAUUUUCAUUUUUGAAAACAAUCCUGUGUAUGAAUUUAAUUUCUUUUUUGAUCAACAAAGCAUUGUUUGAUAUUAAAAAAGCAAUGCAACUGCUCUGCACAACAUUAACCAGAAUUGAGAUAUAAAAAAUAACUCUCCAUAUGUCCCUUAGAGGAUACCUUAGACAUACCAGAACAAAACCAUUUCACUCCUAAAAUGAAUUUUCAUGAAGAAUAAUUUUAUUAAAGUUGUGAAAACAUGAAAUGCCCUUUACACAUCUCUUUUGGAGAUAAACAUGACAAUACAGAAUCUCCACUUCCACCAUGCCAAAAUCUGAAAGUUAGUUUUACAAGAAAUCCAGGAUGGGGAAAGGGAAAAGAAAAAGGCUUGUUUCUCUAGCUCUCUUUCUGGAAAUUAAAAUCUUCCAAUUUCUUUUCUGGCUUUAGGUGGGGAUUGUAUUUCAGAGGUGUUACUCACUCCUAAUGUCUGAAAAUGCGAGCUGUAUCCAGGAGUGCUUAAUAGUGGCUGCUUGCCAAAAAACCCCGUUACUGACCCUGCACUGUCUCCAGAAUAUAAAACCUGUGCUAGUGGCUAGCAGGGAAGAGAGGACAUUUUGUCUAUUUCCUCUCCUUGACUUUGGGGCUACCUAAAGCAGCAUUUUACAAAGGCUGUUUAUAUCCUUGCCAUGAGCAGGCAAUAGGAGUCACAGGGUUCACAUGACCUCCUUACCCUUUUUGCAUCACUUUCUUGGAAGGCACCCGUCUGCUUGUCCCUGUCUGUGCUGUUCCAAGAAGAUGAUAUGUGCAACCAGAGGGGGUGGUUGCUGAUCCAGAAGUCUUGAAAAUAUUGAAAGAAUGUGAAGAACUUGAGUCAACAUGGAAAAUAAAUUAAUGUCAUGGCAGAAAUUCAGGGUAACUUCAAAGUUUUAACAGCUGAGAGAGAAAAAAUUCUGAGUCUUUAUGAACAGGCACAAGAGGAGAUUUCCCAGCUCUGUCAGGAAGCUAUAAAAUGACCCAGGACCCCUAAAAGCAUCACUCCUGUGACAGCUCAAGCUGUAUUAAGACACAUGGAGAUAGAAAGGAAUAAAGCACUGUCAGAUUGCCAAAGGGUGCCUACAGAACGGGAUGGCCUCAGGGAGCAGUUACAGUAAGGCACCACCUGGAGAACUGUGUCUAGCUCUGGGAUCUCCAACAUAAUGAUGACAUGGACCGGUUGGAGUAAGUCCAGAGGAGGCCAUGAAGAUGACCAGAAUGGGCUGGAGCACCUCUCCUACAAAGACAGGCUGAGAUGGUGGUGAGGCCCUGGAAAAGGUUGCCCGGAGAAGUUGUGGAUGCCCCAUCCCUGAAAGUGUUCAAGACCAGUCUGGAUGGAGCACUCAACAACCUGAUGUGAUGGAAGGUGUCCCUGUCCAUUGCAGGGGGCAUGGAACAAGAUGCUAUUUAAAGUCCCCUCCAACUAAAACCAUUCUGUGAUCCUGUGAUUUUAAGACUGUAUCAAACUUUGACAGUGUUUCCCGCAAUGAUCUUAUAUCCAGGUGAGGAUAGGCAUGUUUCACCUGGAGUAGAAGUGGCUUAAGAGGGACAUAAGUCCUACCUGCCAGUAGGUUUGACAUCAAGAAGUCAUUAACAGGCUUUUUACUGCCGUGCUUGGUGGAAAGACGAACAACAAUGGGCAUCCAUUGAAGCCAGAAGGGUUCAGGCUGAAUACAAGGCAAUACUUGCUUCUCAUGAGGGCAGUCGAGCAGUCCCCAGCCCUGGAGAUUUUCAAGACUGGCCUGAACAAAGCCCUGAGCAGCCUGACCUCAGAGCUGGCUCUGCUUUGAGCAGGGGUUUAGACUAGAGACCUGGAGUCCAUUCAAAUCUGAAUUAUCUUAUGACUGUGUAUUACUAAGAUCUGAUGCUUCAAAGCUAAACGUAAUUGCACUCUUCUAGCAAAUAGUUUUUAAUAUGGUUUAAGUUACUUGUGUGUACAAUUGAUUGCUAACAAUUUGCUAACAAACAGAAAAUGGAAACAUUAAGAUAAUGAAUAUAAAUCCUAAAUUUACUUACAGUCUUGGUAGAACUUGAUUUUUAAAUAAAUUAACCAUGCUUUCUGCAGUAUAUCUUUCUUCUAGAUCUUAAGGUUAUAAAUUCUAGUUUAUCUUCUUUUUCUGCCUCAGCUUUCUAAAGCUCCUACCAAGCUUAUAAAUAUAAUACCACAGUUUAUAAUAUUAAAUGGAGUGCAUCUGAUAUGAAGAAUACACUGUAGGCUGAAAUAGCUCUGAGUAGUAAAUUAACUUUAAUCACACGCCUACAUAUGACGUGUAGGGAGCCCUGUUUUAGGUACAUCAUCUUAUUUCUUCAGUUCUCUUGGUACCCUUUGAGAGCAAUACAUCAACAUGAAAUUUAUGGCACUAGUCUUGAAGAAGCUACUGUACAGCAGAGGCUUACUGACUUGCUCUUUAGAGGCCUGACCUUUGAUUAUAGUAACACAGAAAUUCGGACCGUACAGAAAUUAGUACUGAAAAAUUUGGUAAAGGAGGAGAGGCAUGGGGUGAGAAUUUUGUAUUUUUGUGAGAAUUUUUGUACUUUAAAAGAUGUAUUUCAAAUAAUUUAGAAAGGACAGUCCUUUAAACGUUAAGUGUAAGUAUUUUAAUAAAAAGAUAGGGGUUUCUUUAGACUGAAGAUUUCAGACCAGCUUUGCUGGAGUCUGUGCAAGAGGUUUUGGAUCUGUUCUUUGUUUUAGCUACAGACCUGAAGGCCUCAUGGUGGUAACUUGGUUACAUAGUGCAUUAUGCAAGUGUUUUACAGUGAUUUCUCUACCUGGUUAUUGGCAUAGGCACGUAACUUAAUAUAGGUCUAAAGCCAUUAUUGGUCAUGUUGUGUCCCAAACCAUGAUUUCUCCCUUCAUACACUCAUAAUAAUGUUUUCUUCUAUGUUAUUUUACUUUUAAUGUUGAUCAAUGACAAACAUAUUUGCCCUUGGGCAAUUUAUAUGAAUAAAUGAAAAUAUUCCCAGAGAUCUAAAAGAUGGGAAAUUGAUUUACCUUCAAAGGAUGUGAAAGUCACAUUUCAGGUGUUUGCCAACUAUCUUCAGGAAACUGAUAGUUGAGUAAAUGAGAUACUUGGACAUUUCUACUUCAGCAAAAGAUUUGUGCUAAAAACAGAGUAAAAAUUGAAAUAAAUUCUAUAAAUCAGCUAUUUUUUUUUGUUUGUUAGCUGUUAGUGUUUGAUUAUAUUUAUAGUUAGAUAGUGAACAGUUUGAACAGAUG